rnacentral:rRNA from 1 species
GAUGAACGCUAGCGGCAGGCUUAACACAUGCAAGUCGAGGGGCAGCGGGGCGGAAGCUUGCUUCCGCCGCCGGCGACCGGCGCACGGGUGAGUAACACGUAUGCAACCUGCCCCCGUCAGGGGGACAACCCGGCGAAAGCCGGGCUAAUCCCCCGUACAUCCCCGGAGGGCAUCCUCCGGGGAGGAAAGGCUUCGGCCGGAGGGGGAUGGGCAUGCGGCGCAUUAGCCAGUUGGCGGGGUAACGGCCCACCAAGGCGACGAUGCGUAGGGGUUCUGAGAGGAAGGUCCCCCACACUGGUACUGAGACACGGACCAGACUCCUACGGGAGGCAGCAGUGAGGAAUAUUGGUCAAUGGUCGGGAGACUGAACCAGCCAAGCCGCGUGAGGGAUGAAGGUGCCAAGCAUUGUAAACCUCUUUUGUCAGGGAACAAAGGCAUCCACGAGUGGGUGUGUGAGUGUACCUGAAGAAAAAGGAUCGGCUAACUCCGUGCCAGCAGCGCGGUAAUACGGAGGAUCCGAGCGUUAUCCGGAUUUAUUGGGUUUAAGGGAGCGUAGAUGGAUGUUUAAGUCAGUUGUGAAAGUUUGCGGCUCAACCGUAAAAUUGCAGUUGAUACUGGAUAUCUUGAGUGCACGUUGAGGCAGGCGGAAUUCGUGGUGUAGCGGUGAAAUGCUUAGAUAUCACGAAGAACUCCGAUUGCGAAGGCAGCUUGCUAAGCUGCAACUGACAUUGAGGCUCGAAAGUGUGGGUAUCAAACAGGAUUAGAUACCCUGGUAGUCCACACGGUAAACGAUGAAUACUCGCUGUUUGCGAUAUACGGCAAGCGGCCAAGCGAAAGCGUUAAGUAUUCCACCUGGGGAGUACGCCGGCAACGGUGAAACUCAAAGGAAUUGACGGGGGCCCGCACAAGCGGAGGAACAUGUGGUUUAAUUCGAUGAUACGCGAGGAACCUUACCCGGGCUUAAAUUGCAGAUGAAUUACGGUGAAAGCCGUAAGCCGCAAGGCAUCUGUGAAGGUGCUGCAUGGUUGUCGUCAGCUCGUGCCGUGAGGUGUCGGCUUAAGUGCCAUAACGAGCGCAACCCUUGUUGUCAGCUACUAACAGGUUCUGCUGAGGACUCUGACAAGACUGCCAUCGUAAGAUGUGAGGAAGGUGGGGAUGACGUCAAAUCAGCAACGGSCCUUACGUCCGGGGCUACACCACGUGUUACAAUGGGGGGUACAGAGGGCCGCUACCACGCGAGUGGAUGCCAAUCCCCAAAACCUCUCUCAGUUCGGACUGGAGUCUGCAACCCGACUCCACGAAGCUGGAUUCGCUAGUAAUCGCGCAUCAGCCACGGCGCGGUGAAUACGUUCCCGGGCCUUGUACACACCGCCCGUCAAGCCAUGGGAGCCGGGGGUACACUGAAGUGCGUAACCGCGAGGAGCGCCCUAGGGUAAAACUGGUGACUGGGGC